rnacentral:rRNA from 1 species
GACGAACGCUGGCGGCGUGCUUAACACAUGCAAGUCAGGGGGCGUCGGGGCAACCCGGCGUCACCGGCGAACGGGUGCGUAACACGUGAGCGACCUGCCCUGGUGAGGGGGAUAGCCGGCCCAACGGCCGGGUAAUACCGCAUACGCCUCUGGCUUCGGUGCCGGAGGGAAACCUGGGGGUGACCCUGGGGCACCUGGAGGGGCUCGCGGCCUAUCAGCUAGUUGGGGAGGUAACGGCUUCCCAAGGCGAUGACGGGUAGCUGGUCUGAGAGGAUGGCCAGCCACAUUGGGACUGAGAGACGGCCCAGACUCCUACGGGAGGCAGCAGUGGGGAAUCUUGCGCAAUGGCCGACAGGCUGACGCAGCGACGCCGCGUGGAGGAUGAC